UACGAAGGGUGCAAGCGUUACUCGGAAUUACUGGGCGUAAAGCGUGCGCAGGCGGUUAUGUAAGACAGGUGUGAAAUCCCCGGGCUCAACCUGGGAACUGCAUCUGUGACUGCAUAGCUAGAGUACGGUAGAGGGGGAUGGAAUUCCGCGUGUAGCAGUGAAAUGCGUAGAUAUGCGGAGGAACACCGAUGGCGAAGGCAAUCCCCUGGACCUGUACUGACGCUCAUGCACGAAAGCGUGGGGAGCAAACAGG
rnacentral:rRNA from 1 species